rnacentral:ncRNA from 1 species
GUGAGCCGUAUGCGGGAAAACUGCACGUACGGUUCGAUGAGGGGCUUCUGGCAUAUCUCCCAUGGUUUGGCUAGUGAGGCACUCCCAGAGGAAACGGGGAGACAAACGGAUAGGCCAGACCUAAAGAUGAUAUGCCAGGGUCUACUCUAC